CCCCGGGUUAGGCUUGGGGCAGGUGGAAAGCCCCUUGCUCUUCUUUCCCGGGAUGAUGGCCAAGUCCUGAACGGAUGCUUAGUCCACGGAUUCCUGUCAGGGGCGGGUCCUGGCUCCCUUCACAGAGUGGAGAGCCCUUGGCUAAUCCUCACCACCAGGCAGCGGGUCUUCCUCUGUGCCUGUGCCCUCGAGGAGCCAGAAAGCCAACCUGCUUCACUUUCUUCAAGCCACGUGCCUGCGAAGAAGAAUGUAUUAAGGCUGACAGGGGGAGCUGGAGUCCCGCAGGCCGAGCCCUCGUGGCUUGCGCAAAGGUGGAUCCAGAGUAGGAGGGGUGUGGGGAAGCCCACGGGACCGUCUGCAGACACCGGAGCGCCGUGGAUGGGCCGCUGACCUGCAGGGAAAACAGAUUCGGUAUUUUCGAAGACGUGUCUUUCAAAGCGACUCCCUAGCCCACGCCGACAGCAGAGAAAUAAGGGUCGAAUCCGAAGCCGGAAGGCAUCUCCACGACCAAGAGCCGAGGUGGACGCCACCGACAGGGACUGGCCCUGUUGUGCAAGCAGGACGCGCAUAGGGCCGAACUGACAGCACGGCUACCGGUUACAGAUUUAAAAAGCGAUUUCGCAAAAGUAAUUGUACAGCUAAAUUAAUUAUAAAAUAAUUAGAAUUGAUGCCAUUUGAGGAUAUGUUGGUGUAUGGGAAACGGCCUUCCGCGUCUAGAUGUUUUAUUUCUACCUUAAUGUUUUUAAGGUUGCA